UCAACAGUGUACGCAUCUUCAGCGAAGGUAUCUGAAGCAUGCUACGGAGUGGUGUUUCGGCAAGUGCGGCCCGUUGACCGGAAGAUAGACCGGCAAUAAGUUUGCACCAUUUCUCAACGGCGCAAACAAUUUCUCCGUUGAGUUCAUCCAUCCUGUUAAAAAAUAUACUUGGUUAUAGUACCAUAAAUUAUGUAAUCAACUUUUUUCCUAACAUAUUGUUGCAUAAAACAUAAUAAUGGAAUACACUAUCCCACAGUAGAUAGAAAACUAUACAACAUAAUUUAUUCAUACUGAAACAUUCAGCAGAGACACGUGCAGCACAUAAAAUGACAGUUUAACAAGUACUUAUUUAACCAAUUAGUUUCAUAAUAAAAAGCAACAUAAUUUAUCUAAUCAUUUAUUUUCAUAUGGUACUGUACAAAUAGAUAUAAGAAUCGGUGACAGUGCCUAAUUAACAGUAAAUCGAAAAGAAAAAAACGAAAUUAUGCAUACUGGAACAUGCAUCAAACAAACGUGCAACACAUACAAUAUUAGUCGGCGUCUCAUAGUUGCAACAUGCAUGUCUUAGGGCAUUGCUAUAACUUAAAGUGACUAUGCUAUAACUAACACUGAU